rnacentral:rRNA from 1 species
GAUGAACGCUGGCGGCGUGCCUAAUACAUGCAAGUCGAGCGAACAGACGAGGAGCUUGCUCCUCUGACGUUAGCGGCGGACGGGUGAGUAACACGUGGAUAACCUACCUAUAAGACUGGGAUAACUUCGGGAAACCGGAGCUAAUACCGGAUAAUAUAUUGAACCGCAUGGUUCAAUAGUGAAAGACGGUUUUGCUGUCACUUAUAGCUGGAUCCGCGCUGCAUUAGCUAGUUGGUAAGGUAACGGCUUACCAAGGCAACGAUGCAUAGCCGACCUGAGAGGGUGAUCGGCCACACUGGAACUGAGACACGGUCCAGACUCCUACGGGAGGCAGCAGUAGGGAAUCUUGCGCAAUGGGCGAAAGCCUGACGGAGCAACGCCGCGUGAGUGAUGAAGGUCUUCGGAUCGUAAAACUCUGUUAUUAGGGAAGAACAUAUGUGUAAGUAACUGUGCACAUCUUGACGGUACCUAAUCAGAAAGCCACGGCUAACUACGUG